GAAAGGUCCUCCUCUGGGUUUUCUUUUGAAUCCUCAUCGAAACGCUUUUCGUUUCGUCUCAAUCGGAGUUUCCGUUGAGAUUUUACGACGAAAACAAGUAGGACGCUUCUCGGCUUGCUUCCAUUCGCUACGUAGCGACCUGUCAGACUGUCAGUCGCUACAUAGCGACCUGUAAGUCCUCAAAGGGUUCCUCCUUUGCGUUCUCCUUUGAAUUCUCAUCGAAAUGCUUUUCGUUUCGUCUCAAUAGGAGUUUCCAUUGAGAUUUUACGACAAAAACAAGUAAACCUCAUCUUAAACUCCUUGGCUUGUUUCUGCUCACCCUACCUCCAUCUUUGCGUUCACUUUCGAAUCUCGAUCGAAACGUCUCCUGUUUCGCCUCGAUUGAAGUUACCAUUGAGACUUUACGAUAUAAAAAAAAAAAAAAAACCGCAAAGACCUAUUUUCUCGCAUGGAUUCAGAUUAAUCGUAUAAAACGGCAAUGGUUAACUUAAACACCUUAGCCGCCUUAACUAUACGAUUACGUUGAACCUUUUUACAAAAAUCGACGUCUUAUCUAAGGAGAAGAUAACAGUCAAGAUCGGAAGAUAAAUGUCAAGUUUCAAAGGAUAAACACCAAUAUCAGAAAUGGCGAACAUACACGAGAAUAGGAAACGGAAAUUGGCACGCAAAACUGAGAAGGGACAAAACUGCAUCUUCGAGAGAACUAAGGUAUUUCCGACUUAAAAUUUUUGAAAUCAGACUUGGAAUUUUCGUAGGAAAUUACUUUGAGGCUGCCAUAGAACUUUAGGGAACGUAAAACCUAGGCGGAUAGUCUAGCGAACUAAGUUUUAAGCGAUUUUUCGUGUCUCGAUAUAUUGUUCCAUAAUUGUUCAUCUAGAUCUUGCAAACCGAUCUAAACUCUCCGAAAGUCGAGAAACGAUCGCC
rnacentral:lncRNA from 1 species